GCAUUGGGGACAGCUGCUCGCUCUGCUGCUGCUUCUUGAUCGUCAGGUUCUCCUCGUGCUUGCUGAGCGGGCGGCGCACGGCGCGUGUCUUCUUAGGCCGCAGAUUUACAAUGGACUUUUUAAAUCCUAAAAAUCAGCCAGACACGGUGGCUCAUGCCUGUAAUCCCAGCACUUUGGGAGGCCGAGGCAGGCAGAUCACGAGGUCAGCAGUUCGAGACCAGCCUGGCCAACAUGGUGAAACCCCGUCUCUGCUAAAAAUACAAAAAAUUAGCCGGGCCUGGUGGCACGCGCCUGUAAUCCCAGCUACUUGGGCGGCUGAGGCAGGAGAAUCACUUGAACCCAGGAGGCAGAGGUUGAGGUGAAGUCGUGCUGGUAAGUGCCACCUUCUCUGCUGCACUGUAGUAUCUGGGGCAGCGUCGGGCACAGCAAGGGGCCUGAAGGCCUGACGGACAGGCCUAUCUGACGGACAGGCCUAUCGGACUCAAUGAAACUGAAAGAGGAUGUGGGGAAAUCGCACCCUUGUGCACAGCUGGCGGGAUGUGACAUGGCACAGCUGCUGUGGAAAACAGUCGGGCAGCUCCCCAAAAAAUUAAAAUAGAGGCCAGGCGCGGUGGUCCACUCCUGUAAUCCCAGCACUUUGAGAGGCCGAGGUGGGAGGAUCAUGAGGUCAAGAUGGAGACCAUCCUGGCCAACAUGGUGAAACCCCAUCUCUACUAAAAAUACAAAAAUUAGCCGGGCGUGAUGGCAGGCACCUGUAGUCCCAGCUACUCAGGAGGCUGAGGCAGGAGAAUUGGUUGAACCCGGGAGGUGGAGGCUGCAGUGAGCCGGGAUCGCGCCACUGCAUUCCAGCCUGGCGACAGAGUGAGACUCCUCAAAGUGCAUCCAAAAAAAGAAAGACCGGAGGACCCAGCAAUGCUACCUCUGGAUGCACACAUGAGGACAGACAGGAGGGACUCAAACAGAAGCUUGCACACGCAGGUGCACAGCGGCACGAUUGCCAACAGCCACAGGGUGGAAACCACCCAGACAUCCAGCGAUGAUAGAUGGAUCAACACAGCGUGGCCCAUCCACACAGUGGAAUAUUACUGAACCACGAAAAGGAAGGGAAUCCGGACACGGGCUUCAGCGUGGAUGCACCUUGAGGACAUCACGCUCAGUGAGAGAUGCCAGAGACACAGAAGGACACACCCCGCAUGGUUCCACUCCUAGGAGGUCCAUAGAGCCGUCAGAUUCACGGAGACAGAAGGAAAAAAUAACUGAAGGAAGGCUGCAGAGGUCCCACAUCCGCAGCUUACAGAAACGGAGGCCCGGAGGGCAUGACGUCCCCACAGGCGCCCUGGAAG